rnacentral:rRNA from 1 species
UACGUAGGGUGCGAGCGUUAAUCGGAAUUACUGGGCGUAAAGCGUGCGCAGGCGGUUUUGUAAGUCAGAUGUGAACUCCCCGGGCUUAACCUGGGAACUGCGUUUGAAACUACAAGGCUAGAGUGUAGCAGAGGGGGGUGGAAUUCCACGUGGAGCAGUGAAAUGCGUAGAGAUGUGGAGGAACACCGAUGGCGAAGGUAGCACCCUGGGAUAACACUGACGCUCAUGUACGAAAGCGUGGGUAGCAAACAGG